rnacentral:lncRNA from 1 species
CCCCUUGGGCUAGCGCUUACGUAGCUUGCACAAAUUGAAUUAUGGAAAAUACAAUUUUCCAUGUUCGUCACAAUUAUAUUAUAUUCAUAGUUUGAAAUUCAUUUUAACCCAUACCUUAUUUCAAUGCUUUCACAGGCUAAUACUAAUCCACAAGAAAUAAUAUUUUUUUUCCUUUGACUCCUUGUCCUCCUCCAAUCGAUACAACUCGAUAAUUUAUGAUUAAAGAUAAAAAAAAAUGUGAAAAGGUCAAUUUCAAGACUGAGUCAGCUAAACUGACCCCAAAUAAGAAAAUAAUUUGGUGGAUAAUAUAGACAACGUUUACUCGAUCAUUUUGGUGUUGAUUUAACUCAAAUCAGACUUGCAGUGAGGAAGAACAUAGCAAAAACAUGAAAUUCAUCAAUAGAAAAAAUUGGGAUUUUGAAUUGAUAAAUAUUUCAAUGAGUAUAUGAAAAUGACUAAAUCAAUAGUAGAAACAUCAUAUGAAAAUUUGGAAUGAAAAGGAGAUGGUUUGUUACACAACAAUUUAACAAGAAGAUUGAUUUUCUUCUAUUUUCUCUCACACAAAGCAGUGUUAUUGUUGCUUUCAUAUAUUUACCGUAGCUAACCCUUGUUAUAUUUAUAUAAUAAUAACUAUGUCUAUCUCUUUGCAGCAUCAACAUUUGAGUCUGGUCCAUUAUGCACCACUUAAUUCAUUUUUUGUUUUUAUGAAUUAACUCGGCCAACUAUCUAA